GCAUUGCGAACGCACUACGUAUACUAAACCUGAACGAUACAGAGGAGACUAACUUGGCCCCUGUGCAGGGAUGAAACGCAAGUUGGUGAAAAUUCCACAGUUUUU